rnacentral:rRNA from 1 species
AGAGUUUGAUCAUGGCUCAGAACGAACGCUGGCGGCGUGCUUAACACAUGCAAGUCGAGUGCGCGCCUGUAGCAAUACAGGUGGCGCACGGCGCACGGGUGCGUAACACGUGGGCAAUCUGCCCUCUGAUGGGGAAUAACCCGCCGAAAGGCGGGCUAAUACCGCAUAAAAUUCCUUGGACUUAUGUUCGGGGAUUCAAAGGCGUAAGUCGUCGGAGGAGGAGCCCGCGCACGAUUAGCUAGUUGGUAGGGUAAUGGCCUACCAAGGCUUUGAUCGUUAGCUGGUCUGAGAGGAUGGCCAGCCACACUGGAACUGAGACACGGUCCAGACUCCUACGGGAGGCAGCAGUGGGGAAUCUUGCACAAUGGGCGAAAGCCUGAUGCAGCGACGCCGCGUGGGGGAUGAAGCAUUUCGGUGUGUAAACCCCUUUCGAUCCGGACGAAUACCUCGCAAGAGGGGUGACGGUACGGAUAUAAGAAGCCCCGGCUAACUACGUGCCAGCAGCCGCGGUAAGACGUAGGGGGCCAGCGUUGUUCGGAAUUACUGGGUGUAAAGGGUUCGUAGGCGGUGUGGCAAGUUGGGAGUGAAAUCUCUGGGCUCAACCCAGAGACUGCUUCCAAAACUGCUGUGCUUGAGUGUGAGAGAGGCUCGUGGAAUUGCAGGUGUAGCGGUGAAAUGCGUAGAUAUCUGCAGGAACACCCGUGGCGAAAGCGGCGAGCUGGAUCACUACUGACGCUGAGGAACGAAAGCUAGGGGAGCAAACAGGAUUAGAUACCCUAGUAGUCC